rnacentral:rRNA from 1 species
UACGUAGGGUGCGAGCGUUGUCCGGAAUUACUGGGCGUAAAGAGCUCGUAGGCGGUUUGUCGCGUCGUCUGUGAAAUUCUGCAACUCAAUUGUAGGCGUGCAGGCGAUACGGGCAGACUUGAGUACUACAGGGGGAGACUGGAAUUCCUGGUGUAGGCGGUGAAAAUGCGCAGAUAUCAGGAGGAACACCGGUGGCGAAGGCGGGUCUCUGGGUAGUAACUGACGCUGAGGAGCGAAAGCGUGGGUAGCGAACAGGA